rnacentral:tRNA from 1 species
GCGCCAGUAGCAUAACGGUCGAUGCAGCAGGCUUAUAUCCUGACGAUAGAAGGUUCAAUUCCUUCCUGGCGUAC